rnacentral:rRNA from 1 species
UACAGAGGAGCCAAGCGUUGUCCGGAUUGACUGGGCGUAAAGCGCACGCAGGCGGUCGUUCAAGUCGCGUGUGAAAGCCCCCGGCUCAACUGGGGAGGGUCACGCGAUACUGAUCGACUCGAAGGCAGGAGAGGGAAGUGGAAUUCCCGGUGUAGUGGUGAAAUGCGUAGAUAUCGGGAGGAACACCAGUGGCGAAGGCGACUUCCUGGCCUGUUCUUGACGCUGAGGCGCGAAAGCUAGGGGAGCAAACGGG